rnacentral:rRNA from 1 species
GAAUUUUAUAUAAAUUUUUUAUGAGGUAUAGAAUUAAAGUUAUUAUUAAAUUUAUAUUUUAUUGGGAGGAUAAGUAAAUUAGGUAAACUUUAGUUAUAUAAAGUAAGUCAUUAAUUUAUGAUAAGUGAAAUAAAUGAAUGAUUAGUUAAGUUAAAGAAGAAUUAAUUACCUUAGGGAUAACAGCAUAAUAUUUUUAGAAAGAUCAUAUUAAUAAAGAUGAUUGU